rnacentral:rRNA from 1 species
GAGUAACACGUGAGCAACCUGCCCCUGACUCUGGGAUAAGCGCUGGAAACGGCGUCUAAUACUGGAUACGAACCACGAAGGCAUCUUCAGUGGUUGGAAAGAAUUUCGGUUGGGGAUGGGCUCGCGGCCUAUCAGCUUGUUGGUGAGGUAAUGGCUCACCAAGGCGUCGACGGGUAGCCGGCCUGAGAGGGUGACCGGCCACACUGGGACUGAGACACGGCCCAGACUCCUACGGGAGGCAGCAGUGGGGAAUAUUGCACAAUGGGCGCAAGCCUGAUGCAGCAACGCCGCGUGAGGGAUGACGGCCUUCGGGUUGUAAACCUCUUUUAGCAGGGAAGAAGCGAAAGUGACGGUACCUGCAGAAAAAGCGCCGGCUAACUACGUGCCAGCAGCCGCGGUAAUACGUAGGGCGCAAGCGUUAUCCGGAAUUAUUGGGCGUAAAGAGCUCGUAGGCGGUUUGUCGCGUCUGCUGUGAAAUCCGGAGGCUCAACCUCCGGCCUGCAGUGGGUACGGGCAGACUAGAGUGCGGUAGGGGAGAUUGGAAUUCCUGGUGUAGCGGUGGAAUGCGCAGAUAUCAGGAGGAACACCGAUGGCGAAGGCAGAUCUCUGGGCCGUAACUGACGCUGAGGAGCGAAAGGGUGGGGAGCAAACAGGCUUAGAUACCCUGGUAGUCCACCCCGUAAACGUUGGGAACUAGUUGUGGGGUCCAUUCCACGGAUUCCGUGACGCAGCUAACGCAUUAAGUUCCCCGCCUGGGGAGUACGGCCGCAAGGCUAAAACUCAAAGGAAUUGACGGGGAC